rnacentral:rRNA from 1 species
GUGCCAGCCGCCGCGGUAAUACGGAGGGUGCGAGCGUUAAUCGGAAUUACUGGGCGUAAAGCGCGCGUAGGCGGUUUGUUAAGCUGGAUGUGAAAUCCCCGGGCUCAACCUGGGAACUGCAUCCAGAACUGGCAGGCUAGAGUACAGUAGAGGUGAGUGGAAUUUCCUGUGUAGCGGUGAAAUGCGUAGAUAUAGGAAGGAACACCAGUGGCGAAGGCGGCUCACUGGACUGAUACUGACGCGGAGGUGCGAAAGCGUGGGGAGCAAACAGGAUUAGAUACCCUGGUAGUCCACGCCGUAAACGAUGUCGACUAGCCGUUGGAGUCCUUAAGAUUUUAGUGGCGCAGUUAACGCGAUAAGUCGACCGCCUGGGGAGUACGGCCGCAAGGUUAAAACUCAAAGGAAUUGACAGGG